rnacentral:lncRNA from 1 species
CUUCCCGGCUGUCCCUGCACUCCGUGGCGGUAGGCGGCUAGAAGGGCUCCUUCUGAGCUCUCCGAGGGAUUGGUCGGGACCUGAAGCGUUGAGGUGAAGGGCAAGGCAAGGAGCAACGAGGACUUUUUCUUAUGUUGGAAAAAUUUCGUUGAGUGAUGAAGCUCUUUUACCUGUAUGAUUUAACCUUAUGAAAAUAGACAGUAUUCUAGUUUUACAAGUGAGGAAAGAAGAUUAAGAAACUUGCCUUCGCCGGGCGUGGUGGUUCACUCCUGUAAUCCCAGCACUUUCGGCGGCAAGGCAGGCGGAUCACUUGAGGUCAGGAGUUUGAGACCAGCCUGGCCAACAUGGCGAAACCCCGGCUCUACUAAAAAUGCAAAAAUUAGCUGGGCGUGGUGGCGCGCGCUUGUAAUCCCAGCUACUCUGGAGGCUGAGGCAGGAGAAUCGCUUGAACCCAGGAGGCGGGGGUUGCAGUGAGCCGAGAUCGCGCCACUACCCUCCAGCCUGGGCGACAGCGCGAGACUCCGUCUCAAAAGAAAAAGAAACUUGCCUUGAGUCCUACAUAUAGUUUGCUGUAGUAGCAGAAUUUGAACUCGGACCGACUGAAUGGUCUGCUUAAUAAAAUGCUAUUUGGAUUCUCUAUAAAAUUAAUAAUAUAGAAGUAAUGUUAAUUAGAGAAAACUUGGAAAAUAUUAAAUUCAUUCGAUAAAGA